rnacentral:rRNA from 1 species
GGAAUCACUGGGCGUAAAGGGUGCGUAGGCGGCUAGAUAAGCCAGAGGUGAAAGGCUACGGCUCAACCGUAGUAAGCCUUUGGAACUGUUUGGCUUGAGUGCAGGAGAGGAGAGUGGAAUUCCUAGUGUAGCGGUGAAAUGCGUAGAUAUUAGGAGGAACACCAGUGGCGAAGGCGACUCUCUGGACUGCAACUGACGCUGAGGCACGAAAGCGUGGGGAGCGAACAGGAUUAGAUACCCUGGUAGUCCACGCCGUAAACGAUGAGUGCUAGGUGUCGGGGGUUCACACCCUCGGUGCCGGAGUUAACGCAUUAAGCACUCCGCCUGGGGAGUACGGUCGCAAGACUGAAACUCAAAGGAAUUGACGGGGACCCGCACAAGCAGCGGAGCAUGUGGUUUAAUUCGAAGCAACGCGGAGAACCUUACCAGGACUUGACAUCCCUAUGACCGGUCCUUAAUCGGACUUUUCCCUUCGGGGACGUAGGAGACAGGUGGUGCAUGGUUGUCGUCAGCUCGUGUCGUGAGAUGUUGGGUUAAGUCCCGCAACGAGCGCAACCCUUGUCUUUAGUUGCCAGCAGGUAAAGCUGGGCACUCUAGAGAGACUGCCGGUGACAAACCGGAGGAAGGUGGGGAUGACGUCAAAUCAUCAUGCCCCUUAUGUUCUGGGCUACACACGUGCUACAAUGGCUGGUACAACGGGAAGCCAAGGAGUAAUCUGGAGCGAAUCCCAAAAAGCCAGUCCCAGUUCGGAUUGUGGGCUGCAACUCGCCCACAUGAAGUCGGAGUUGC